rnacentral:tRNA from 11 species
GGGCGUUUAGCUCAGCUGGUUCAGAGCAUCUGCCUUACAAGCAGAGGGUCGGCGGUUCGAAUCCGUCAACGCCCACGA